GUUGGCAACAUUGAACUUUAAUACCGUGCGUACCGUGCUCCAUAUUUGUUGGUUACCUAAUAAGAUCUUCAGGGUAAAUAAUGUUGGCUUUAAGUAACGCAGUCAGGUUUGCGCCUCAAAUUAGGCAAAUGAGUGCCAUCCCAACCAAACCCUUGGUUAGAAUAUCUUUUACCGAGAAAUUGGUUCAUGCCGCUAUCAUGACUACAGGAUAUUGUGCUAUUCCUGCUUGGGUACUUUACCAUCUUCGUUCAUACAGAGGAUUAGAAUAAUUCAAAUAUUUUGGUUAUGUAGAAAAUGUGGUAGCAUAAGAAUAUAUUAAUUAUUAAAACUUAA